CAAGGAAAAAAGCAAGCAACAUCAUGAGGUCACUGUGGACACUGGAAUUUGCCACUCUGACACAUGGACAUCCCACACAUUAGAUGACAGUAAAACAUGGUUAUAGUGAACCUCCAGGGACAACGAAAACAUGCUGCCUGGAAUUUUAAGCUUGGAACUGUCAGAAUUACCCUUCAGACCACAGAGACACCUAGUGGCACACUCCACCAAUCAAAACAUGCACAUUAUACCUUUCAGAAAUGAAUUCAGCUGAUCAAGUGGACUGUUUGACCAACAGAACAAAAUUUUUUUUACAGCUUUUUUUGUAUAACAAUCAUCAGCAAUCAUUUUUACAAUGUCUAAAGCAAUAAAUACCACAUUU